CGGCCUGCCAGAAGAACAUCCCCACGCUGACUGCAGCAGGCGCGGAUCGAGACUUGAUUGGGCAAGUGCUGAAGUUUGCCCCACACAGACGGCCAGCUGAGAAGGAGCUGUGGAGCUCUAUUUAUUUAUUUAUUUUUUUUACUUUUUAAUUUUUUUUUUUAAAUCUAUCUUUUUUUUUUUGUUAAAAGAAUUGUAUUUUUGCCACUUUGGCCAUUCACCUACAUAUUACAUACUUCAUCAUUCCAAUAUGCAUCUUGCACACUACAUUUGUACUACAUUUGCACUACAUCUUUUAUCUUUUUUGUAUUUUGUUUAUUGUAUAUACAUAUUGUAUAUUAAAGUUUGAAAUCCCA